rnacentral:rRNA from 1 species
AAUCAACGCUGGCGGCGUGCCUCAGACAUGCAAGUCGAACGAGAAAGUUUCCUUCGGGGAAUGAGUAAAGUGGCGCACGGGUGAGUAACACGUAGGUAAUCUACCUUCGGGUGGGGAAUAACCCAGGGAAACUUGGGCUAACACCGCAUAAUGCAGCGGCACCACAUGGUGACAGUUGUUAAAGCGGGGGAUUUUAGUACCUCGCGCCUGAAGAGGAGCCUGCGGCGGAUUAGC